rnacentral:rRNA from 1 species
UACGGGGGGGGCAAGCGUUGUUCGGAAUUACUGGGCGUAAAGGGCUCGUAGGCGGCCAACUAAGUCGGACGUGAAAUCCCUCGGCUUAACCGGGGAACUGCGUCUGAUACUGGAUGGCUUGAGUUCGGGAGAGGGAUGCGGAAUUCCAGGUGUAGCGGUGAAAUGCGUAGAUAUCUGGAGGAACACCGGUGGCGAAGGCGGCAUCCUGGACCGACACUGACGCUGAGGAGCGAAAGCCAGGGGAGCAAACGGG